rnacentral:rRNA from 1 species
GGGGAAUAUUGCACAAUGGGGGAAACCCUGAUGCAGCAACGCCGCGUGAAGGAUGAAGGUUUUCGGAUUGUAAACUUCUUUGAUGAGGGACGAAACAAAUGACGGUACCUCAAAAACAAGCCACGGCUAACUACGUGCCAGCAGCCGCGGUAAUACGUAGGUGGCGAGCGUUGUCCGGAAUUACUGGGUGUAAAGGGCGUGUAGGCGGGGAGACAAGUCAGAUGUGAAAUACCGAGGCUUAACUUCGGGGCUGCAUCUGAAACUGUUUUUCUUGAGUGUCGGAGAGGAAAGUGGAAUUCCCAGUGUAGCGGUGAAAUGCGUAGAUAUUGGGAGGAACACCAGUGGCGAAGGCGACUUUCUGGACGACAACUGACGCUGAGGCGCGAAAGCGUGGGGAGCAAAC